rnacentral:rRNA from 1 species
GUGAGGAAUUUUCCGCAAUGGGCGAAAGCCUGACGGAGCAAUGCCGCGUGAAGGAUGAAGGCCUAUGGGUUGUAAACUUCUUUUCUUAGAGAAGAAUAUUGACGGUAUCUGAGGAAUAAGCAUCGGCUAACUUCGUGCCAGCAGCCGCGGUAAGACGAGGGAUCCUAGCGUUGUUCGGAAUUAUUGGGCGUAAAGCGGGUGCAGGUGGCUUGGUAAGUCAGAUGUGAAAGCCUGGGGCUUAACCCCAGAAGUGCAUUUGAUACUGCUGAGCUUGAGUGCUGGAGAGGCUAUUAGAAUUCCUGGUGUAGUGGUGAAAUACGUAGAUAUCAGGAGGAAUACCGGAGGCGAAGGCGGAUAGCUGGCCAGACACUGACACUCAGACCCGAAAGCGUGGGGAUCAAACAGGAUUAGAUACCCCAGUAGUCC